GUGCUUGCUUUGUCACAUGUAUUGCUAUUAGGAUGAUAAAGGGAAGAUUAGCAUAAAUCUUUCACAAGGACGAGACACAAAUAAAGUGUUCCAUAGUGUG
rnacentral:snRNA from 1 species